rnacentral:tRNA from 1 species
ACCCUGGUGGUCCAAUGGCCAAGACUCCACACUCCGAAUGCAGGGGUCCCCGGGUUCAAUUCCUGGUCAGGGAA